GGUUAAGCGAAUAAGCGUACACGGUGGAUGCCUAGGCAAUCAGAGGCGAUGAAGGACGUGCUAAUCUGCGAUAAGCGUCGGUAAGGUGAUAUGAACCGUUAUACCCGACGAUUUCCGAAUGGGGAAACCCAAUAUCCAAUGGAUAUUAUCAUGACGUGAAUACAUAGCGUCAUGAAGCGAACCGGGAGAACUGAAACAUCUCAGUACCCCGAGGAAAAGAAAUCAACCGAGAUUCCCCUAGUAGCGGCGAGCGAACGGGGAACAGCCCAGAGUCUUAAUCAACAGCAGCAUCAGGAGAACGGUCUGGAAAGUCCGGCAGUAAAGGGUGAUAGCCCCGUAUCUGAAGAUGCUGUUAUUGUGAACUCGACGAGUAGGGCGGGACACGUGUUAUCCUGUCUGAAUAUGGGGGGACCAUCCUCCAAGGCUAAAUACUCCUGAUUGACCGAUAGUGAACCAGUACCGUGAGGGAAAGGCGAAAAGAACCCCGGCGAGGGGAGUGAAAAAGAACCUGAAACCGUGUACGUACAAGCAGUAGGAGCCUCUUUAUGGGGUGACUGCGUACCUUUUGUAUAAUGGGUCAGCGACUUAUAUUCUGUAGCAAGGUUAACCGUAUAGGGGAGCCGUAGGGAAACCGAGUCUUAACUGGGCGAAUGAGUUGCAGGGUAUAGACCCGAAACCCGGUGAUCUAUCCAUGGGCAGGUUGAAGGUUGGGUAACACUAACUGGAGGACCGAACCGACUAAUGUUGAAAAAUUAGCGGAUGACUUGUGGAUGGGGGUGAAAGGCCAAUCAAACCGGGAGAUAGCUGGUUCUCCCCGAAAGCUAUUUAGGUAGCGCCUCGUGAACUCAUCUUCGGGGUAGAGCACUGUUUCGACUAGGGGGUCAUCCCGACUUACCAACUCGAUGCAAACUGCGAAUACCGAAGAAUGUUAUCACGGGAGACACACGGCGGGUGCUAACGUCCGUCGUGAAGAGGGAAACAACCCAGACCGCCAGCUAAGGUCCCAAAGUCAUGGUUAAGUGGGAAACGAAGUGGGAAGGCUCAGACAGCCAGGAUGUUGGCUUAGAAGCAGCCAUCAUUUAAAGAAAGCGUAAUAGCUCACUGGUCGAGUCGGCCCGCGCGGAAGAUGUAACGGGGCUAAACCAUGCACCGAAGCUGCGGCAGCGACACUAUGUGUUGUUGGGUAGGGGAGCGUUCUGUAAGCCUGCGAAGGUGUACUGUGAGGUAUGCUGGAGGUAUCAGAAGUGCGAAUGCUGACAUAAGUAACGAUAAUGCGGGUGAAAAACCCGCACGCCGGAAGACCAAGGGUUCCUGUCCAACGUUAAUCGGGGCAGGGUGAGUCGACCCCUAAGGCGAGGCUGAAAAGCGUAGUCGAUGGGAAACGGGUUAAUAUUCCCGUACUGGUGGUAACUGCGAUGGGGGAACGGAGAAGGCUAGGUUGUCCGGGCGACGGUCGUCCCGGUUCAAGCAUGUAGGCAGAGUGAUUAGGCAAAUCCGGUCACUUAAUGCUGAGGUGUGAUGACGAACCACUAAGGUGGUGAAGCAAUUGAUGCCCUGCUUCCAGGAAAAGCCUCUAAGCUUCAGGUUACCAACAAUCGUACCCCAAACCGACACAGGUGGUCAGGUAGAGAAUACUCAGGCGCUUGAGAGAACUCGGGUGAAGGAACUAGGCAAAAUGGUGCCGUAACUUCGGGAGAAGGCACGCUGGCGGUAAGUGAAGUCCCUUGCGGACGGAGCCGAAGCCAGUCGAAGAUACCAGCUGGCUGCAACUGUUUAUUAAAAACACAGCACUGUGCAAACACGAAAGUGGACGUAUACGGUGUGACGCCUGCCCGGUGCUGGAAGGUUAAUUGAUGGGGUUAUCCGUAAGGAGAAGCUCUUGAUCGAAGCCCCAGUAAACGGCGGCCGUAACUAUAACGGUCCUAAGGUAGCGAAAUUCCUUGUCGGGUAAGUUCCGACCUGCACGAAUGGCGUAAUGAUGGCCAGGCUGUCUCCACCCGAGACUCAGUGAAAUUGAACUCGCUGUGAAGAUGCAGUGUACCCGCGGCAAGACGGAAAGACCCCGUGAACCUUUACUAUAGCUUGACACUGAACAUUGAGCCUUGAUGUGUAGGAUAGGUGGGAGACUAUGAAAUGUGGACGCCAGUCUGCAUGGAGUCAACCUUGAAAUACCACCCUUUAACGUUUGAUGUUCUAACCUAGGUCCAUAAUCUGGAUCGGGGACCGUGUCUGGUGGGUAGUUUGACUGGGGCGGUCUCCUCCUAAAGAGUAACGGAGGAGCACGAAGGUUGGCUAAGCAUGGUCGGACAUCAUGCGGUUAGUGCAAAGGCAUAAGCCAGCUUGACUGUGAGAGUGACGGCUCGAGCAGGUACGAAAGUAGGUCUUAGUGAUCCGGUGGUUCUGAAUGGAAGGGCCAUCGCUCAACGGAUAAAAGGUACUCCGGGGAUAACAGGCUGAUACCGCCCAAGAGUUCAUAUCGACGGCGGUGUUUGGCACCUCGAUGUCGGCUCAUCACAUCCUGGGGCUGAAGUAGGUCCCAAGGGUAUGGCUGUUCGCCAUUUAAAGUGGUACGCGAGCUGGGUUUAGAACGUCGUGAGACAGUUCGGUCCCUAUCUGCCGUGGGCGUUGGAAGAUUGAGAGGGGUUGCUCCUAGUACGAGAGGACCGGAGUGAACGCACCACUGGUGUUCGGGUUGUCAUGCCAAUGGCAUUGCCCGGUAGCUAAGUGCGGAAGAGAUAACCGCUGAAAGCAUCUAAGCGGGAAACUUGCCUCGAGAUGAGUCUUCCCUGUCACCUUGAGUGACCUAAAGGAACGUUUAAGACUAAGACGUUGAUAGGCUGGAUGUGUAAGCGUAGCGAUACGUUGAGCUAACCAGUACUAAUGAACCGUGAGGCUUAACCUG
rnacentral:rRNA from 1 species